rnacentral:rRNA from 1 species
UUAUUAAUUUAUUAAUUUUUUUAAUUUAUUACUUUUAUUUAAUUUGAAUUAUAUUAUAUGUAUUUGUUUUAGUAUUGUUUGUUGAAUUAAUCUUUUAAUUUAUAGUUUAUUUUUACUGUUAAGGAUUUAAUUUAUUAAUUUUUAAGUAGAAUUAUUUUUGUACCUUUUGUAUCAGGGUAGAUUUAAUAUAAUUUAUUUAUUUGUUUUUCUCGAAUUAAUUUGAUCUAAUUUAUUAUGUAUUUUACAGUUGAAUAUUUAUUUAUUAUAAUUUUUUAGUUGUGAUAUGCUAUUCGUGAAUUAAGAUAUCUAGUUUUCUAAUAAUUGAAUUUAAUUUAGUUAUUUUUAUUUAAUAAUAUAAUUUUUAUAUUUUUAUUUAUAAAUAGUAAUAUUUUGGGGGAUUAGCUCUGAUUUAUCUUUAUAAUUUUUAUUUAUUAAUAUUGUGUAGGUUUUAUAUUAUCCAUCAUUAUUUAGUAUUUUAUAAUUUAUUAUUUUGUUUUUUUUAUUUAAUUAUAUUUAAUUAUUUAUUGGAAUGUUUUAAUUAAUUAUUUAUUAUUUGAUAUAAUGAUUUAAUUAGUAUAUUUUUAUUUAAAUGUUUAUUUUUUGUUAAUUUAUUAUAAGGAAUUAGGCAAAUUUAUUUAUUCGCCUGUUUAUCAAAAACAUCUUUUCUUGUUAUUUAUUUGAGAUUUGACCUGCCCAAUGAAUUUAUUUUAAUGGCCGCGGUAUUUUGACCGUGCAAAGGUAGCAUAAUCAUUAGUUCAUUAAUUGUGGACUUGUAUGAAUGGUUGGACGAAAUAUUAGCUGUCUCAUAUAUUAAUAUUAUAAUUUAAAUUUUGAGUUAAAAUGCUUAAAUUUUUUUAUAGGACGAGAAGACCCUAUAGAUCUUUAUUUUAAUUAUUUUUUAUUGUUUUUGUUUAUUUCUUAUUGAUUUUAAUUAAUUUUUAGUUGGGGUGACGUUGAGAUAUAAGUAACUCUUAUUUUUUUAUUCAAUUAUUUUUGUUUAUAUGACCUUUUAUUAAUGUUUUAAGAUUUAGAUACCUUAGGGAUAACAGCGUAAUUUUUUUUGAGAGUUCAUAUCGACAAAGAAGAUUGCGACCUCGAUGUUGGAUUAAGAUAAUAAUUGGGUGUAGGUGCUUAAUAAUUAAGUCUGUUCGACUUUUAAAUUCUUACAUGAUCUGAGUUCAAACCGGCGUGAGCCAGGUUGGUUUCUAUCCUUAAUAUUUUUUAUUAUAUUAGUACGAAAGGACCAUAUAAUAUAAAUAAUUUAUUAUCUUUGAUUUAUAUUA